rnacentral:rRNA from 1 species
AUUGAACGCUGGCGGCAGGCUUAACACAUGCAAGUCGAGCGGAGAUGAGGUGCUUGCACCUUAUCUUAGCGGCGGACGGGUGAGUAAUGCUUAGGAAUCUGCCUCUUAGUGGGGGACAACAUUCCGAAAGGAAUGCUAAUACCGCAUACGUCCUACGGGAGAAAGCAGGGGAUGUUCGGACCUUGCGCUAAUAGAUGAGCCUUGGUCGGAUUAGCUAGUUGGUGGGGUAAAGGCUUACCAAGGCGACGAUCUGUAGCGGGUCUGAGAGGAUGACCCGCGACACUGGGACUGAGACACGGCCCAGACUCCUCCGGGAGGAAGCGGUGGGGUAUAUUGGACAAGGGGGGGAACCCCGAUCCAGCUAUGCCGCGUGUGUGAAGAAGGCCUUAUGGUGUUAACGCACUUUAAGCGAGGAGGAUGCUACUGAGACUAAUACUCUUGGAUAGUGGACGUUACUCACAGAAUAAGCACCGGAUAUCUCUGUGCCAGCAGCCGCCGUAAUAC